rnacentral:lncRNA from 1 species
AUAUUUGUAUUGAUUAUUAAAUUUGACUUUUGCAGGAAAACAAGACACCAACCUAACAUACGUCUUAAUUCAGGAAAACAAGACCUGGAUAGAUGCUCAGAGUUACUGCAGACAGCAUCACACAGACCUGGUCAGUGUGAGGAACCAGACUGAGAACACAGAGAUAGAUCAGAAGAUAUCACUGAGGGGACUUCCUGUGUGGAUCGGUCUGUUUCAAGACUCCUGGAUAUGGUCAGACCAGAGUGACUCCUCAUUCAGAAACUGGUGGUCAGGAUGGCUUUCAACAGAUCAGAGAUACAACUGCACUAUGGUGCAUUCUAAUCCUUCUUCUCCAAAUCAUGCUAAAUUGAGAAAUUAUCCCUGUGAGAACACCUUUCCUUUCAUCUGCUAUGGUAAGUUACCGUAUUCUCCACCUAAACAACCUGAUAUUAUCAUGACAGGAGAACUCUAAUGUUGCCGCCAUGAUUAACUACUGCCAUUGUGGGAUUUUAUUCUCUUCUUGGCAUAGCUGUGGAGACCACAACUGCCCCCCUGCCCACACCCACAACAACGACUACCCCCCUGCCCACAACUAACCCCCUGCCCACAACCACAACUACCCCCCUGCCCACAACCACGACUACCCCCCUGCCCAAAACCACGACUACCCCCCUGCCCAAAACCACGACUACCCCCCUGCCCACACCCACAACCACGACUACCCCCCUGCCCACACCCACAACCACGACUACCCCCCUGCCCACCACCACGACUACCCCCCUGCCCACAACCACGACUACCCCCCUGCCCACAACCACGACUACCCCCCUGCCCAAAACCACGACUACCCCCCUGCCCACAACAACGACUACCCCCCUGCCCACAACUACCCCCCUGCCCACGACCACGACUACCCCCCUGCCCACCACCACCACUACCCCCCUGCCCACAACCACGACUACCCCCCUGCCCACAACCACGACUACCCCCCUGCCCAAAACCACGACUACCCCCCUGCCCACAACCACGACUACCCCCCUGCCCACAACCAUGACUACCCCCCUGCCCACGACCACGACUACCCCCCCGAUUAUACACCAGACUGCCUCCCCGACCCCUGAGAAACCUCAACUGAAGAGACAGGUGGUGAGAGUGAAGAUGACACCAAAGGAUCAAUAUCUGAACAUCAGAGAUCUUGCUGUUCAGGACGCCAUCUUAAAAGAGAUAAGGAACAAGCUGAAGGAGCAGGGGUUACCUGCAGACACCAAAGUGAUGUGGAAAAAGCAGCCUGAUGGGAAGGUCUUCCACAAGGAGGAAGAGGGGUCUCCCAAGACAGAAGAGGAGGAGAAGAAGAUGAAGAAGAUGAAGAAGAGGAUGAUGACAAAGAGAGAACUCUAAUUAUGUUAAAUGUUCUCCUUGCAUGUAUCUUUUUAUUUACAUUAAUAAUCUGUACUGG